rnacentral:lncRNA from 1 species
UUCAUCUGCAACCUGGGAAGAUCAGGAGGACCAGGCUCAGGAGGUUCUGCUUCCUUUAGUUCAAGCACAAAGAGAGUCAAGACCCCAAAGAGCAAGCCUGCCUGAAGUGAAGCAAGAUGGUGAUUCUUGAGUCACCUGCACAGCAAAUCAUCAAUCACGUUAUUCUCUGGAUCCAAUCAUGACAGAUUGGCAAGGAUAUUCUGUGUCUGCCUGUUCAUGAAACUGGUGAUGUCUUAUGUUUGGCGGGAGCAUGGGACUUUUGCCCCACAAACAUCUGGAUUCACAUGAAAUGAACUCAAACAUUUUUAUUUCUGGAGUCUGAUUCAGAAAAGCCAAUUGGGGCUUGAGGAGACAUUUAAGGUACGAUAGCGCCUGGUGCAUCUCUGCACCCCUGCUGCAAACCUCCACAGCAGACA